rnacentral:rRNA from 1 species
AGCGUUGUUCGGAUUUACUGGGCGUAAAGGGCGCGCAGGCGGCUCAUUUUGUCAGGCGUGAAAGCCCCGGGCUUAACCUGGGAACUGCGUUUGAUACGGAUGGGCUAGAGUUCGGGAGAGGAGAGUGGAAUUCCCAGUGUAGAGGUGAAAUUCGUAGAUAUUGGGAAGAACACCGGUGGCGAAGGCGGCUCUCUGGACCGAGACUGACGCUGAGGCGCGAAAGCGUGGGGAGCAAACAGG